UGCUCCGGCGCAAAUUCGCUCUUGAAGCGGUCGUCCCUCCUGCUUUGCUCAACCAAAACAGCAGAAGAUGUCUCAGCACUGCGGAAUAUUGUUGAUCGAAUCGACGGACUACUGACGUGAGGGCUUGACAGACUUUUCGCAAGUUUCCUACGACGUGAGGAAGAAGGAAGAAAUGUCUUUAAGGAGAGAAAGAUUCACUGCACAGCACGGAUGAAUCUCGUAUCGGAUUUUGGACCCAAUCUCAGCUGCUGAAUCACUCUUAAACCAGAACUCGUAGGCUGGAAAACAUUAUAUAUAA